UAAAAAAAAUAAAAAAUGACGGAAGUGAAAAUCGAAGUGGGAGAUUUAGAGGAACAACAAAUCUCUCCGAAAGAACAAAACAUGAAGUCAGAAGCAUGUCAAAUCGAUAUAGAAUCGCAAUUAGAUGAUCCCACAAUGGCAGAAUCUAAUGAAAAAAUGAUAAUGGAUUAUGCAAGUCUUGUUGAACGUACACGAAAUGUAUUUAUUAAUGGUAAAACAAGAUCAUUAAAAUGGAAACAAACACAAUUAAAACAAUCACUACUUAUGAUACAAGAAUGUAAACAAGAAAUUAUAUCUGCUCUUGCUUCUGAUUUACGCAAGUCUAAAUUUGAAUCUGUUAUUAUGGAAAUAAAUAUUGUUGAAGGAGAAAUCAAACAUUUGCUCAUGUCUCUUAAGGAAUGGUCAGCUGAUGAAAAACCUCCAAAAGAUAUGGUUAACAUAAUGGACAGAGUUGAAAUUAAGAAAGAUCCAUAUGGUGUGGUUCUUAUUAUGGGACCAUGGAAUUAUCCUUUCCAAUUAAUUAUGGCUCCUUUAGCAGGUGCAUUAGCUGCUGGAAAUUGUAUUAUUGUUAAACCAUCAGAAAUAUCCUCUGCUACAGCAAAACUUAUUGCAGAUAUUAUUCCAAAAUAUUUAGAUCAAGAAUGUAUUCAUGUAAUAUUAGGAGGUAUUUCUGAAACAACAGAAUUACUUAAGCAAAGAUUCGAUUAUAUCUUUUAUACGGGUUCAUCUAGUGUUGGAAAAAUCAUUCAUCAAGCAGCAAAUAAAUUUUUAACGCCGAUAACAUUAGAACUUGGUGGUAAAAGCCCUGUAUAUAUAGAUAAUACAGUAGAUAUGGACAUAACUGUGAAAAGAGUACUUUGGGGCAAAUGUGUUAAUGCUGGACAAACAUGUAUUGCACCUGAUUAUAUACUUUGUUCUGAAGAAAUUCAAAAUAAAUUUGUAACAAAGGCAAGAGAAAUUCUAAAAGAUUGGUAUGGUAAUAAUCCAAAAGAAAGUCCAGAUUUAUCACGUAUAAUUAAUGAACAUCAUUAUCAGCGUCUCAUCAAGUAUUUAAAUAAUGGUAGAAUAGUGAUAGGUGGUGACUGUGAUCCUAAUGAAAAAUAUAUCUCUCCAACUAUUCUUGUUGAUAUCAAAUCUACAGAUCCUGUGAUGCAAGAUGAAAUAUUUGGUCCAAUAUUACCAAUCAUAAAUGUGAAUAAUGCUUAUGAAGCAAUUAAAUUUAUAAAUAAUCGUGAAUCCCCACUCGUAAUAUAUAUAUUUUCCAAGGACAGGGGAGUUCAGGAUUUAAUAAUAAAUCAAACUCGUAGUGGAAGCGUAGGAGUAAAUGAUACAAUAAUGCAAUAUUGUGGGAGAAGCCAUUAGCAUUAUACAUAUUUAGCACUGAUGAAAAUACUAUAUCAAUAUUUCUCAACAAUACAAGUAGUGGUAAUGCUUGUGUUAAUGAUGUAAUAAUGCAUGCAACAGUUGACAGUAUACCAUUUGGUGGUGUUGGCAAUUCUGGUAUGGGAUGUUAUCAUGGAAAAUAUACUUAUGAUACCUUUGUACACAAAAAAGGUUGUCUUAUUAAAUAUUUUAAUAAACUAGAAGAAGCAUU
rnacentral:misc_RNA from 1 species